UCUUCAUUUCCCACACUCUCUCACCGGUCAGAGAGGCGAGAGAGUGUGGGAAAUGAAGAUA
rfam:Pristionchus pacificus strain PS312 contig8514, whole genome shotgun sequence.